rnacentral:rRNA from 1 species
UGAAGACUGGAAUUGCUAGUAAUGGCAGGUCAGCAUACUGCCGUGAAUACGUUCCCGGGCCUUGUACACACCGCCCGUCACACCAUGAGAGUUGGAAAUACCCGAAGCCUGUGAGCUAACUUAAAGAGGCAGCAGUCGAAGGUAGAGCCAAUGAUUGGGGUGAAGUCGUAACAAGGUAAC